rnacentral:rRNA from 1 species
UACGAAGGGGGCUAGCGUUGCUCGGAAUCACUGGGCGUAAAGCGCACGUAGGCGGCUUUUUAAGUCAGGGUGAAAUCCUGGAGCUCAACUCCAGAACUGCCUUUGAUACUGAGAAGCUUGAGUCCGGGAGAGGUGAGUGGAACUGCGAGUGUAGAGGUGAAAUUCGUAGAUAUUCGCAAGAACACCAGUGGCGAAGGCGGCUCACUGGCCCGUUACUGACGCUGAGACGCGAAAGCGUGGGGAGCAAACAGG